rnacentral:rRNA from 1 species
UACGGGGGGAGCAAGCGUUGUUCGGAUUUACUGGGCGUAAAGGGCGCGUAGGCGGUCAGCACAAGUCAGUUGUGAAAUCUCCGAGCUUAACUCGGAAAGGUCAACUGAUACUGUGCGACUAGAGUGCGGAAGGGGCAACUGGAAUUCUUGGUGUAGCGGUGAAAUGCGCAGAUAUCAGGAGGAACACCAGCGGCGAAGGCGGCGCUCUGGGCCGGAACUGACGCUGAGGAGCGAAAGCGUGGGGAGCAAACAGG